rnacentral:rRNA from 1 species
GAUGAACGCUGGCGGUAUGCUUAACACAUGCAAGUCGAACGGACUCUCCGUAGUUAGUUGCUGACGGGUGUGUAACGCGUCAGAAUCGGGCUUUGGGCUUGGGACAACCACUGUAAACGGUGGCUAACACCGGAUGUGCCGCGCGGUAACAGAGUAAUUGCCUGAAGAGGAGCUCGCGGCUGAUUAGCUAGUUGGUGAGGUAAAGGCCCGCCAAGGCAGCGAUCAGUAGCCGGUCUGAGAGGAUGACCAGCCACACCGGGACUGGGACACGGCCCAGACGCAUACGGGAGGAAGCAGUGGAGAAUUUUCCGCAAAGGGCGAGAGCCUGACGGAGCAAUACCGCUUGAGGGAAGAAGGCGCUUGGGUUGUAAACCUGUUUGCUUAGGGAAGAACAAAAUGACGGUACCUAAGGAAUCAGCACCGGCUAACUCCGUG